ensembl:snRNA U6 U6 spliceosomal RNA
CUACACAUGUACUAAAAUUGUACUAAAAUUGGAAUGAUACAGAGAAGAUGAAGCGUGGCCCCUGCGCAAAGGAUGGCACGCAACAUUCGUGAAGCGUUGUUGUUUUUG